rnacentral:rRNA from 1 species
UGGAGAGUUUGAUCCUGGCUCAGACGAACGCUGGCGGCGUGCUUAACACAUGCAAGUCGAACGGAAAGGCCCCUUCGGGGGUGCUCGAGUGGCGAACGGGUGAGUAACACGUGGGUGAUCUGCCCUGCACUCUGGGAUAAGCUUGGGAAACUGGGUCUAAUACCGGAUAGGACCAUGGGAUGCAUGUUCUGUGGUGGAAAGCUUUUGCGGUGUGGGAUGGGCCCGCGGCCUAUCAGCUUGUUGGUGGGGUGAUGGCCUACCAAGGCGACGACGGGUAGCCGGCCUGAGAGGGUGUCCGGCCACACUGGGACUGAGAUACGGCCCAGACUCCUACGGGAGGCAGCAGUGGGGAAUAUUGCACAAUGGGCGCAAGCCUGAUGCAGCGACGCCGCGUGGGGGAUGACGGCCUUCGGGUUGUAAACCUCUUUCAGUAUCGGCGAAGCUCCGUGGUUUUCUGCGGGGUGACGGUAGGUACAGAAGAAGCACCGGCCAACUACGUGCCCGCAGCCGCGGUA